UACGUAGGGUGCAAGCGUUAUUCGGAUUUACUGGGCGUAAAGGGUGCGCAGGCGGCCAAGCGUGUGUGGCGUGAAAGCCCGGGGCUUAACCCCGGAAUUGCACCUCAAACUACAUGGCUAGAGCAUUGGAGAGGGUAGCGGAAUUCACGGUGUAGCAGUGAAAUGCGUAGAUAUCGUGAGGAACACCAGAGGCGAAGGCGGCUACCUGGACAAUUGCUGACGCUCAGGCACGAAAGCGUGGGGAGCAAAAGGG
rnacentral:rRNA from 1 species